AGUGACCUAUAUUUUGGUGGCACACUGAAGGAGUCGGGUUUGUACUGACAGCCUGAAAAGCUAAACUGUGUGUUUUUUGUUUUGUUAUUUCGUCAAAAGCAAAAAUCAGGAUUGGGUGAAGGAAUCCACAUAAUGAUGUAUUUUCCAUAGCUGCUGCUCGGAGAUGACCCUCUGGAAUGGAAACAGACUGCUGCGGAACGCGGGCUCCAGCAGGCCGCACACAGAACCGAUCUCCUGGAAGAGAAUUAACUAGAAUCUAGCGUGGAGAUUUUUCACAGUCCUUUGUGCUAAGAGGCUUCCGGGCUUAGAGAAGGAGGACGUCCUCAGACUGCUGCAGAAGAUCUAAACGGCUGGUCUGCGCCUGCCCUGCUCCGUCUGCCCUGCUCCCGGCGCCCGGCGGGACCGAGACCUCACCCGCGGCAUAAUUGCGUGUGUCCAGCGCGCUCCCCGGGCUGUCCCGUGGCGAGCUGGAGUUCGUUGUUCCUCGGAUCAGGCCAAGAAAAAGUUCGCCCUCUCUUCUUCCCAAGUUAAGUGUUUUAGCUACAAGUCACAAAACACUUUUCUUAAAAAAAAAAUGAGAACAGUUUUGAACGAAACACAGUAAUAUAUAUAUAUAUAUAUAUGCAUAUAUAUUAUCUUGCCUGCCGGUAGAUGGGAAAAUAAAUCGGCCGUGCCUCGAUGGUGCCUUCCUAUUGGACUGAAAUUCGUAGGAGCCACCGCUCAUCAAAUGAAAAUUGGAAGCGGAAGGCCCACUUAGGGGGUCUACCAACAGCCUUGAUCCCCUGGCUCCAUUCACGGAAUGAAUGGAGUAGGAAAGAGAACCAGAGAGAACUCCAAAGACGUCUGGUCCGGGGAUGUGCGGCUCGUACUAAGUGUGUCCUGCUACAACCCAGGGUGUGCGGGAAGCGGUCUGGAUCCCGUCGCGCCCGACCCCUACAGCUUCCACCUGGAGAAGGCCUGCUUAAUUGGGCAGCCAGCAGCUGCUAAAUGUGCGGUCUACUAAUGACCCACCUCCUCGGCGACUCCUAUCCAAGGCAUAAAACUGAUAUUUUCACACCCGGAUCGCACGGCAGGAGCCGUUUAUAAACAUCCUGCAUCCGAGGGAUGGAAAAAAAAAAAAAAAAAAAAGGCUGCAUUGACAGGGGUCUCUGGAGCUCGGUAUUUAAAAGCGAUAGAUCCGAAUUAGAAAAUUAUUACUCUAAGUAGAGAAAGUACCCACCAACUUAACUAUUGAACUGCACGUCUGAGCUCUUGGCACUAACUACGGGUCUGGAGGAACUUAUCCUGGAUCUUGCGCGGAAGGCAGGCCAUCCACUGGCUCUCGGCUUCUAAAGCUCUCCCCUGGGGGCUGCGGUCCUCCAGAGGGCUGGCGAGGGCUAGCCUGGGUCACGUCUACAAAGACACAACUAGGACCUGGGGAGAAAGCCUAGGCGAAGUAGCCACAGCGGCCUGAGCUUGUUGGUGCUUUGCUUUCUCCAACCCCAGAACCGCGCCAGGGCGCAGUCCGCGCAAGGACUGUCCGCUGAGGCAGGGGAAUGUGUGACCUUGGCUCCCGAGAAGGAACUGACAAUGUCCCUAAAGUGAAUGCUCAGCUAUGAUCACCGGCAAACUGCAUGUGCGACACGUGGCUGUUGACUGUGUCUUUGGAUUGUUGCCCACCUCGUUUAUCGUGCAUAGGAGUCUGGAAAGUGUUUGAAGAAGGAAGAAUGUCCAGAGGUACUGCUCAAAGCGUGCGUCUGGGAACCUGUGUCCCCAUUCAGUGGCACAGAGCAUGAAACCUGCUCACCUUUGGGACUCACUGAGCCCAGACUCUUUUAGACUUCGUCACCCACAGCGCCAGGGAACAGCACAGGCGCGACUAUUCUCGAAAGUGAAGGUCACCAAGUUGACGUCUGCCGGGGUCUGAGAUCUACUGCUAGCUGAGGCUGAGCCUGGGGAGUGGGGGAGGGGGACUUUCUUGAUAGACUGCACUAGGGACACUCGGGACACCCUGGUGUGCAGACCAGUGCUCCUCCCCUUGGCCCCGAGCGACACCUCCACGUCUCAAGGAAGACAAACUCUGGAGAUACACGGAGGGAGAGCUAGGUUCUGCUUAACCAGAGCCUGCACAUGUGCUAUAGUUCUUGGUAGAGCAUCAGGAAGCCCGGCCCACUUACCGGACAGAGAAAUGGAGCGAGAAAAUAAUUCCGGGCCACGAGGAACCCGAAAUUAGGGGAGGGGCGGCCUGGAAAACUCCUGGGUUAAACGUUAGCACGCAAUUCCAUUAACACAUUGUGACAUUCACAAGCCCACAAUCUCGCUUUAAGCACGCCUGUGGUUUGGAUCGCGGUGUUCUGUGUCUUUUCUUGUGACCAAUAAAGCAGGA